AGAGUUUGAUCAUGGCUCAGAUUGAACGCUGGCGGCAGGCCUAACACAUGCAAGUUGAGCGGCAGCACAGGGGAACUUGUUCCCUGGGUGGCGAGCGGCGGACGGGUGAGUAAUGGCUGGGAACCUGCCCUGAUGUGGGGGAUAACAGUUGGAAACGACUGCUAAUACCGCAUGAUGUCUACGGACCAAAGAGGAGGACCUUCGGGCUUCUCGCGUCAGGAUGGGCCCAGUUGGGAUUAGCUAGUUGGUAGGGUAAUGGCCUACCAAGGCGACGAUCCCUAGCUGGUUUGAGAGGAUGAUCAGCCACACUGGAACUGAGACACGGUCCAGACUCCUACGGGAGGCAGCAGUGGGGAAUAUUGCACAAUGGGCGCAAGCCUGAUGCAGCCAUGCCGCGUGUGUGAAGAAGGCCUUCGGGUUGUAAAGCACUUUCAGCAGUGAGGAAGGUGGUGUAGUUAAUACCUGCAUCAUUUGACGUUAGCUGCAGAAGAAGCACCGGCUAACUCCGUGCCAGCAGCCGCGGUAAUACGGAGGGUGCGAGCGUUAAUCGGAAUUACUGGGCGUAAAGCGCAUGCAGGCGGUCUGUUAAGCAAGAUGUGAAAGCCCCGGGCUUAACCUGGGAACCGCAUUUUGAACUGGCAGGCUAGAGUCUUGUAGAGGGGGGGUAGAAUUUCAGGUGUAGCGGUGAAAUGCGUAGAGAUCUGAAGGAAUACCG
rnacentral:rRNA from 1 species